AGAGGGCCGGAUGCCAUGAUUUUGGUUUUCUUAAUGUUGAGUUUCAAGCCAACUUUUGCACUCUCCUUCUUCAAUGCCAAAUAGGCCAAAGAAAUAUGAAAUGAAUGGGGCUUGGACUUUUAAAAGUGGCUGUCAAGGAACUAACUUUUUCUGAAGCAGAGAUCAAAGUUCUACAUAAAUAUAGGUCUGCCCUAUAUUUAGCACAGGUAUUAUCCUUUCUAUUUUUAAUUAUUACUAGGAUUAUUUUUUGACAUGAAUAGAGCAUUGAAUUCAUUACAGAUUCACAUUUUAGUGGAUCCCUUGCAUCAUUUCAUAGACAAAACAAAUUGGAAUAAACAAAGAGAGGUAAUUUUUUAUCUUAGGAUGUUAAAUAACAUAGUCAUUCAGAACUUUAUGACAUAAGAAUAUGAUAAAACUGCCCACAAUAAAACAAUAAGUGUCUUCCAGCUAAAUUUCACAGAAAUUUUAAUAAUGUGGAAUAAAAGGUAUUUGUUCUGAGCAUGACCUGCAGUGAUCUCAUCUAAUACUCAAGUUAUUAGAAUCUAAAACAGCUGCAAUAUUUCAGUUCACAUUUGCAGUUUCUUUGCAAGAAACAAGCAGAAAUUAUUUUUUCAUAUAUAUUUAAUUCUUUCAGGAAAGUAUAUGCUCAUCAUAGUAAGUGAAUAUCAUUUUAUGAGCUUUUAUUCAUAUAGCAAUCUUACCUAUGACUUUUGUGACAUAAAUGCUAUUAUGUUUAAUAGGACUUAUUUCCAAGCAAGUGCAUAGAGAAUAGCUGUUUUUGUCUAGUUUAGCGUCUAGGAUCAUAAUAAAAAUGUCACUGUAAAGAUUGCAUCAUUUUAUUCAGAACAGUGGUCUUAUGGUAAGAAUCUAUUAAGCCUAACUUAAGAUUUGUGCACCUGCUAAAGAUUUAUGUCCUGCUCAUUUGUUUUUCUGUGCAAGUUGUUUGUUUUACAGGUUUAAAUAUCAAGGACAAGAUAAAGCCAGAAAAACAACACUGGGUUGCAUGCAGAAUAACAUUUGUUAUACCCUUGUACUUAAUGACCUACCCAAGCUUGAGGAACUCUGAGAAUCUUCUGAAGAACCUAGCAACAUCAGUAAAAUGUUACAGAGAUGUGAGAUGAGCAAAUGCAGUUUACGAAGCUUUCCAGUUUCAAGCGUCAGGAACCAAUGAGAGGGUUCUCCCCUUCCUUUAGGGCUAGCUUAAAGAAUUUUAAUCCAAGCCAGCUGGGAUUUGGGAAAAAAAACACAGUAAGGAAAAAAAAGGUAUUCUUUUCACUGAUUAAUACAUUAUUUCUUUUAUUUUUGUCUUAGCAUGAUUGAGACCCAAUCCCCACAAGGACAAUAAUGAGGAACAAAUACAUUCCAAGACAGCAUGUAUGCAUUUAUAUAUACAUGCAGGCCAUUACAUCAAACCAACAUAGGUUUUUUUUGCAUAUUGACUUAAAGUGCUCUAUGAAUACUAAGUUACUGCAUUUUUGAAGACAGCAGUUUAUGACUUGACCUGUUGUAUACUCAAUUAAACUACACAAACUUUACAAUGCAGUGUGCAAACCUAAUCAUAACAUAGUCUAGCAAUAAAAGUAUCUUAUAUUUAGGCUAUAUCUACUGCUGGAUUACCAUGUUCCCAGUACUGCAGAAAGUGAUGCUGCCAUCUUGUUUUCUCAUAGCACAUUCUUACCGUACACAGGGAAGAGGUUGGUGCACUACUAUCCAUACAGCUUUAACAUGCAGAACUCUUAAGGACCAUGAUUGGUGAUUCCAUUGGCUUCAAUUGCAGCUCACUCACUAUAAUCUACCAUGUGAUAAGCUUCUUCCAAUUGAGUUCAGCAUAUUCUGAGUACCUCCAAUCAGUGCAAUUUCCUCCCAUUCUGUUACUGUCACCUGAAUGAUUUUUUCUUCUUUUUUACUCCAGCCAAUUAAUUGUUAAAUCUAUCAACCACAAGGUGGCAGCAAGGAGAGGGUUUUAGGGGUAUCUCUUACAAAAGGUGCUUGGGUAACUGCUGUUGAGGAGUCAGAGUUUGAGAAACAACUAUGAGAAUUGGUACAAGAGUUGUAAAUUAUCCUAAGAAGGAAAGGAAGCAAGGAGUCAAAACUUCUGAGAGCAGCAGCCAAGAGAAGGGCCAGACAAGCUACCAAAAUCCUUUCAAUUUUGGUUUCAACUAUUUCCAGCCAGCCAGUCAACCUAGUCAAUUGCACAGCUUUGCAUUCCCUAAAUCAACCAAACCAUUUUAAGGAAGGCGAAAACAGUGGCUACUAAAGGAGUAUUUCAGUCUUCCUCACUGCUAAAGGAUGACUGAGUGGUGGAAACCAAGAACCACAAUUUACCUAAUGUCAGCUUGACAAUAUAGAUGAUACCAAGAAAUUGAUGCCCAGUGUGCAUAAAACUACUUUUAUUAAGAUUGACUAUGGCAAUAUAGAAUCUUGCAACUCUGAAUAUGCUUUUCCUCUUUUUACCUUUAUGUGGAUUUGGAGAUGCCUAUCUGAGAUGUACAUCUGCCUCCCUCCUCUGAGUUUUCAUAGUCUGAAUAGAAUAGAAUAGAAUAGAAUAGAAUAGAAUAGAAUAGAAUAGAAUAGAAUAGAACCUUGGAGGUCCUCUAGUCCAGCCCCCUGCUCAAGCAGGAAAACCUAUAC